rnacentral:rRNA from 1 species
GAUCCCUUCCCGAACUCAGAAGUGAAACCUCUUAGCGCUGAUGGUAGUGUGGGGUUUCCCAUGUGAGAGUAAGUCAUCGCCAGCU